UGUGAGUGAUGAAGGCUUUCGGGUCGUAAAGCUCUGUCACGUGGGAAGAACCUGUCUGAUACCAAUACCAUCAGGCACUGACGGUACCACGAAAGGAAGCACCGGCUAACUCCGUGCCAGCAGCCGCGGUAAGACGGAGGGUGCAAGCGUUAUUCGGAAUUACUGGGCGUAAAGGGCGCGUAGGCGGCUCUUUAAGUCAGGCGUGAAAGCCCGGGGCUCAACCCCGGAAGUGCGUUUGAUACUAAAGAGCUCGAGUACGGGAGAGGGAAGUGGAAUUCCUGGUGUAGAGGUGAAAUUCGUAGAUAUCAGGAGGAACACCGGUGGCGAAGGCGACUUCCUGGACCGAUACUGACGCUGAGGCGCGAAAGCGUGGGGAGCAAACAGGAUUAGAGACCCUGGUAGUCCACGCUGUAAACGAUGAACACUAGGUGUAGCGGGUAUUGACCCCUGCUGUGCCGCAGCUAACGCAUUAA
rnacentral:rRNA from 1 species